rnacentral:lncRNA from 1 species
UCCUCCAAAUGAACCUUAUCGUGUUAUACUUGGUGAUGUGAGGGAUAAGCUAUAUAAUACCCGUGAGCGUUCUCGUCAACUAUUGUCAAGCGGAUAUUCUGACAUUCCAGAGGAAGCAACAUUUACCAAUAUUGAGCAGGUACUUCUUCAUUAGUUACUAAUACGUGUGUAUGAAUUGGCAUCAUUUUUUCUUUAGGUGAUCUGGAAAUAAUUUUUUUGUGAAGAAAUGAUGUCAAUAACAUGGCACCUCUAUCACAUGGUUUCUUAGAGAACUUUCUUUCUAAGUUGCAUGUUGUUGUAGCCAUUUACUUAUCUUCAUUUUGAUGUUCAUUUUCCAUCUAUCUAUGCAAAUGCUUGUGCAAGCAGGUGUUUUUUUUUACACACUAGUGUAUAAAAAUGUUGGUGCUUUAUUGCCUGUUCAAUGGGUAUGUUAUAUUCCUUUUGUUUUGUUAAUUAUGAAUUGGUUUUCUGUUGCAGUUUCUGGAACCCCUUGAACUCUGUUACAGAUCACUUUGUUCUUGUGGUGAUAAAGCCAUCGCUGAUGGAAGUCUUCUUGACUUCUUGCGCCAAGUAUCGACCUUUGGCCUUUCUCUUGUGAGACUAGAUAUCAGGCAAGAGUCUGAUAGGCACACUGAUGUCAUUGAUGCCAUUACUACGCAUCUUGGUAUUGGAUCGUACCGUGAUUGGCCUGAGGACCAACGUCAGGAGUGGCUGUUGUCUGAGCUCAGAGGCAAGCGCCCUCUAUUUGGUCCUGACCUUCCCGAAAC